AUGGCGCCGCGCUUCUUUUUUCGAUCCAACUCAAACUUCUCUGUCAAUAAUCGCUUGUCCUCUUCUCAGAUCAACUCAAAUCUGUCGCCGUCUGUCUUAAUUCCUCUCUUCUCACCAGACUCAUCUCUUCUUUUUUUCACAAGCUCUGCUUUAGUCACGAUUUUGUCUCAAAUUACAUCUCCAACGCCAUGCUUCAACGAAUCCGCGAUCUCGCAUUCGUCGCCGUGA